GAUGAACGCUGGCGGCGUGCCUAAUACAUGCAAGUCGAGCGAACAGACGAGGAGCUUGCUCCUCUGACGUUAGCGGCGGACGGGUGAGUAACACGUGGAUAACCUACCUAUAAGACUGGGAUAACUUCGGGAAACCGGAGCUAAUACCGGAUAAUAUAUUGAACCGCAUGGUUCAAUAGUGAAAGACGGUUUUGCUGUCACUUAUAGAUGGCUCCGCGCCGCAUUAGCUAGUUGUUAAGGUAACGGCUUACCAAGGCAACGAUGCGUAGCCGACCUGAGAGGGUGAUCGGCCACACUGGAACUGAGACACGGUCCAGACUCCUGCGGGAGGCAGCAGUAGGGAAUCUUCCGCAAUGGGCGAAAGCCUGACGGAGCAACGCCGCGUGAGUGAUGAAGGUCUUCGGAUCGUAAAACUCUGUUAUUAGGGAAGAACAAAUGUGUAAGUAACUAUGCACGUCUUGACGGUACCUAAUCAGAAAGCCACGGCUAACUACGUG
rnacentral:rRNA from 1 species